AUUGAACGCUGGCGGCAUGCUUUACACAUGCAAGUCGAACGGCAGCGCGGGGCAACCUGGCGGCGAGUGGCGAACGGGUGAGUAAUAUAUCGGAACGUACCCAGAAGUGGGGGAUAACGUAGCGAAAGUUACGCUAAUACCGCAUACGAUCUACGGAUGAAAGUGGGGGACCUUCGGGCCUCAUGCUUUGGAGCGGCCGAUAUCUGAUUAGCUAGUUGGUGAGGUAAAGGCUCACCAAGGCGACGAUCAGUAGCUGGUCUGAGAGGACGACCAGCCACACUGGGACUGAGACACGGCCCAGACUCCUACGGGAGGCAGCAGUGGGGAAUUUGGACAAUGGGGGCGAACCCUGAUCCAGCAAUGCCGCGUGAGUGAAGAAGGCCUUCGGGUUGUAAGACUCUUUGUUCAGGGAAGAAACGGUGAGUUCUAAUAAAGACUUGCGUAAUGACGGUACCGUGAAGAAUAAGCACCGGCUAACUACGUGCCAGCAGCGC
rnacentral:rRNA from 1 species